rnacentral:misc_RNA from 1 species
AACAUAAUACACAAGGAGGUAAAAUUUCAAACCUUAGGGGUGCUCUGAGGAUGUGCUUCGAUUUCCUCCACUGGCUCCCAUGGCUGGUAGCGCGUCCAGUCUCUCUGUCCAGGAUUAAGGGUGUGACCCUUGGAAUGGUAUAUGUAUGCAUCUCCCUCUCCAGAGAAGUUCUGCUUGUGCUCGAGCCCGUACCUCUUUGGCCUCAGCAUCAGAAGUUCGUCGCCGGUGUGGUCAGUAAUGAAGUGCAACCAACCAUGCCACUCUGGCGGUACCUGAGAUGCAUUAUAUCUACCCUUAUCGGCAUACUCCACCCAUCUGUGCCUUCCAUACUGAGUAUCUUUUAGUUUUUCAUAGUACUUGUUACCAUAUUUAUCAACUCCGACAACAGUUGCACCUACAUUAUGGAGUUUGGUUUGCAGAAGAUUCCCAUCGAAAAAGCAUUUCGUGUAGCCUUCAUCUUUGAGCUCCUUGAUGAAGCCGCCGACACCCUUCUCCUUGAUCGCCUUCAACGCGGCCCUCGCCACCGUCAACAUUUCUGGAAGCCUC